AUCUUUUUUUUUCCUAUUAUUUCAUUCCUUCAGCUCCUUUAAUAUUCCAAGGGGCUGAAAGAUGAAAUUCCCGCUGAACUGGGAAAUCCAAACCGGAAGUUGUGGGGAAAUCCCUGCAGAGACUUUGGAAGUUUUGAUGAUUUCAAAUCUCUCUCUCACCCCGAAUUAUGGAUUUAUAUCCUUAAAAAUCCCUAUUUCCACCAUUCCAUCCACAUUUUCCUCAUUAAAUCCAUGUUUAUAUCCCUAAACUCCAGGCAGGAUGGAUUUGGCUCAGGUGUGGUUUGGUGAAGGAUAAAUUGACCCAAUCCUGCUAAAAUUUGGGAUUUAUAUCCCAAAUUAUAUCCAGCGGAUCCACCUCCAACAGGAGCUGCUGUGCUCCCAGGAAAUCAUGGAAUGUGGGACCGGUUUAUUUUAUCCAUGGAGAAUCCGCCUUUUGCCCCUUUUUCUUAUGAAUUUUUUUAGGUAGCUCUGGAAAUUCCCCUUCCGGAUAAUGAGGAAACAAUUCCCAAUUCCUCUCCCUCCAUCUGGGCAGCCAUAAAAUUUGGGAUGGAGCAGCAGCUGUUGGACUCCGCACAUCCACGCUCCGCAGCAGGGAGCCUCCCAUCCCUCCUCUUCCCGCUUCACCCCUGGAUUGCUCCUCCUGAAGCAGCACCGGGACCCUUUUUUGGGUGACACUGGAGCAAAAUCCCCGGAUGAGGCAGAAACCCCAAGUUUGGCCACUUCUGCAAUCAUUCGCUGUGAAGAUUUUGCAAGAGUGGGGGUGGGGUCCCUGGCUCGGCUCCAGCUCUGCUGAUCCCACAGGAGCCUGGAAAAGAGAAACCCCAAAUCCAAGCAGCCAACCCCAAACCACCCCUCCUGCAAUUUGGGUUGUUUCCGGUCAUUUUCCAGAGUUGCUGCUGCUGCACUGGUGAUUUUUUAGGAGUGGAUGAGGUGAUUAUCUGAGUGUUAACGAGAUAAAAAUUACGGCUGGAUAUCCCAGCGUUUUGGGGGGAUUUGUGCUGCUGUGGGUGAUGGGAGGAUGGAUAAGCUGAGCUUUGCUGAGCUCCCGAUGCUGCAAAUCCCCACAAUUGUUUGUGCCGAGCUCUGGGAUCAAAGCUGCUCCAUAGAUGGGAGUUAUUAAUAAUCCUAAUUAUUGGAUGUUGGAAAAUUGGUGCUGGGUGUUUUCCCAUUAAAAAAUAAAAGGAGAGGGAUGAAGCCCUCUCAGCUUUCGGGAA